UGGGAAUUUUGGACAAUGGGCGAAAGCUGAUCCAGCAAUGUCGCGUGUGUGAAGAAGGCCUUCGGGUUGUAAAGCACUUUUGUCCGGAAAGAAAUCCUUGGCUCUAAUACAGUCGGGGAUGACGGUACCGGAAGAAUAAGCACCGGCUAACUACGUGCCAGCAGCCGCGGUAAUACGUAGGGUGCAAGCGUUAAUCGGAAUUACUGGGCGUAAAGCGUGCGCAGGCGGUUUGCUAAGACCGAUGUGAAAUCCCCGGGCUCAACCUGGGAACUGCAUUGGUGACUGGCAGGCUAGGAGUAUGGCAGAGGGGGGUAGAAUUCCACGUGUAGCAGGUGAAAUGCGUAGAGAUGUGGAGGAAUACCGAUGGCGAAGGCAGCCCCCUGGGCCAAUACUGACGCUCAUGCACGAAAGCGUGGGGAGCAAACAGGAUUAGAUACCCCUGGUAGUCCACGCCCUAAACGUGUCAACUAGUUGUUGGGGGAUUCAUUUCCUUAGUAACGUAGCUAACGCGUGAAGUUGACCGCCUGGGGAGUACGGUCGC
rnacentral:rRNA from 1 species